CCUGAAAUAAAAUUCAUUAGUUGUUAGUGAUGGAGCUUAUAGACGUUUCUGGUUUAUAUAGUUAAGCCUGCCUGCAGUCAGGUGUCUGAGACCCCUUCUCACAGCCCAUGUGUGACAGUGUAUGGGCUUUUCUCACGAGCAGAUUAGAUCUGCAGCUCAAGUUUUUGGAUCUUUUUUUUUUUUUUUUAACCCGAUUGAAAUAGCAGUGCUGGUUUU
rnacentral:lncRNA from 1 species